UGGCUCAGUGGAUAGAGCGUUGGGCUGCGGACUCAAAGGUCCUGGGUUCGAUUCCAG
rnacentral:tRNA from 1 species